rnacentral:rRNA from 1 species
AUUCCAGCUCCAAUAGCGUAUAUUAAAGUUGUUGCAGUUAAAAAGCUCGUAGUUGGAUUUCUGGUAGAAGUAGCGACCUUGGGUCUUUGACCUAUGAAGUUGCUAUCUUCAACCAUCCUUGAAGAGAUUUAGUUUGGCAUUAAGUUGUCGAACUAAAGAUAUUCAUCUUUUACUGUGAAAAAAUCAGAACGUUCAAAGUAAGCAUUUAGCUUUGAAUGUAUUAGCAUGGAAUAAUGAAAUAGGACUUAGGUACUACUUUGUUGGUUUAUGCACCUAGGUAAUGAUUAAUAGGGAUAGUUGGGGGUAUUCGUAUUCCAAUGUUAGAGGUGAAAUUCUUGGAUUUUUGGAAGACGAACAACUGCGAAAGCAUUUACCAAGGAUGUUUUCAUUA